UGGGGAAUAUUGCACAAUGGGCGAAAGCCUGAUGCAGCAACGCCGCGUGAGCGAAGAAGGUCUUCGGAUCGUAAAGCUCUGUCCUUGGGGAAGAUAAUGACGGUACCCUUGGAGGAAGCCCCGGCUAACUACGUGCCAGCAGCCGCGGUAAUACGUAGGGGGCAAGCGUUAUCCGGAAUUAUUGGGCGUAAAGAGUGCGUAGGUGGUUACCUAAGCAGGGGGUGAAAGGCAAUGGCUCAACCAUUGUUAGCCCCUGAACUGGGCUACUGGAGUGCAGGAGAGGAAAGCGGAAUUACCGGUGUAGCGGUGAAAUGCGUAGAGAUCGGUAGGAACACCAGUGGCGAAGGCGGCUUUCUGGACUGAAACUGACGUUGAGGCGCGAAAGCGUGGGGAGCAAACAGGAUUAGAUACCCUGGUAGU
rnacentral:rRNA from 1 species